rnacentral:rRNA from 1 species
AAUGAACGCUGGCGGCAGGCCUAACACAUGCAAGUCGAACGGAUCCUUCGGGAUUAGUGGCGGACGGGUGAGUAACGCGUGGGAACAUACCCUUUGGUACGGAAUAGCCUCGGGAAGCUGGGAGUAAUACCGUAUGUGGUCGAGAGACGAAAGAUUUAUCGCCAAAGGAUUGGCCCGCGUUGGAUUAGGUAGUUGGUGGGGUAAUGGCCUACCAAGCCGACGAUCCAUAGCUGGUUUGAGAGGAUGAUCAGCCACACUGGGACUGAGACACGGCCCAGACUCCUACGGGAGGCAGCAGUGGGGAAUCUUAGGCAAUGGGGGAAACCUUGAUCUAGCCAUGCCGCGUGAUCGAUGAAGGCCUUAGGGUUGUAAAGAUCUUUCAGGUGGGAAGAUAAUGACUGUACCACCAGAAGAAGCCCCGGCUAACUCCGUGCCAGCCGCCGCAGUAA